UCUAUUUGCCACUAGAUGUCGCAAUGUAGCCGUCAGGUCUAUCGUGUCAUACUGCUGUCAUAUGAAUAUAUCACGAUUCACGAUAUAGCUGUCAUGAGUCACGAUAAUAUGUCUAUUUGACAGACCUGACGGCUACAUCGCGGCACCUGGUGGCAAAUAGAAUUUCAACAACCCUUAUUGUA